rnacentral:lncRNA from 12 species
ACGCGUUUUUUUGGAGGCAGCCUUCAGUUCAUUGGAUGCUCGAGAGUCUUAACAAACACUGCCUCCUUCACUCAAAAGAACUCCGUGUCCUGCAGCACCUCUGAAAUGUGAGGGACCGACGGGCCACCAAGAACGGAGCGAAGAACAUCAAAGGUUGCCUACCUGAGAUGCCGGGCCUACAGAUUCCUCUCGAUCUGUAUAGAGAUGUGAAUGAGCUUCUGGUCCCAUCGCUCAUGUGCAGCUCGAUUAGCCCCACGUGUCUCGUUCUUCAUAUGUGGAAGUGCAGCAGAUGGUUGGAGACGCACCGUGUUACGAGGCUGAGGCAUACCGCUUUUGCCCCUAGGGACCCCCCUGUUGCCAUGGUAACCUCACCAGUCAAGAGUUGCCGUCAUUGGUGCCAAUCAGAGUGACCGCCAUGAUGGCAGGGCAGGGCUCUUUGAAGAAGGUGGGCUGUCCAGCUUAAGAAACAACAUGCCGAAACAAAACAUGACACAAUUAAAACAAAUGGAAAAUACUUAAUAUCAUUAAAUGGAUGAUGCAUUGGUGUCAAAUCAAAGUGGAGAAUGAAGCUGACUCAAGUGCAUGUGCAUACCAAGCAAAUUGCCAUGUAAAGGUCCUGACAUCUCUGUCUCUUCAUCUCUGGUGCAGCAGUAGGUUUACUGUAGAUAUCAAUGGAGUUGUUAUUGAGGUGUCCUUCACUGAUGCAGACACCAUCGCCAACAUCCAGCAGACUUGAACCUGAUGAGAGAUCAGCUACAGUGUGACCCAUCAUGCUUUGCCUCUGUAAUACUUCUGCCUUAACACACCACAGUCUACCUCUCCGUAGUUCAGCAGACUGAAUUAUAUUGCGCCUUUUUUACCUUCUUCUGUUGUAUCAAUUGUCUGUUAUGCUGCACUGAACAAAAAUUGUAUAUUUAGCAAUGUGAUUUUUGCUCAUGAUGCAUCAUAUAAUGCAUCAUAAUGAACCUUAGGUCUUUGUAGAGAUGGAUUUUUUAUGUUUCUAAAUGUCUCUUAUGGUCACUAAGGCUGCAUUCAUUUGAUCAAUAAUAGAGAAAAAAAACAAUAUAAUAUUGUACUCUAAAUAUUCCAGUCUUCAGUAUCACAUGAUCCUCCAGAAAUGAUUUUUAAAGAAACAAUCUUCAUUAUUAUCUAUAUUCAAACAGUUGUACUAUCAAAUUCUUUUUUACAGUGGCCCAGUAGUGUAGAACACAACUUAAACAAGCCACAACACAACGAAAUUAGCACAACACGAUGGAAACAACUUGCAGCACAACAAAACAGAAACAAGAUGCACCAAAAUGAAAUCAGCACAACACAAUAGAAACAAGCUGCAACACAAAAUUAGCACAACACAACAAAAACAAACCACAACACAACGAAAUUAGCACUACACAAUGGAAACAAGCCGCAACACAAUGAAAUUAGCACAAAAAAAUGAAAACAUACCAGAACACAACAAAAUUAGCACAACACAACAGAAACAAACCACAACACAAUGAAAUAAGCACAACACAAUGGAAACAAGCCACAAUACAGCGAAAUUAGCACAACACAAUGAAAUUAGUACUAUGCGUUGUGUAGUGGAGAUUUUGUGUUGUUCACUACUGGGCCACUGUUGUUUUUAAAUAUUCAAUAGUCAGUUUGGUUAAACCGUCUUCUAAAUUAUUAAAUGUGAAAAAAAAAAACCUUUACAUUUCUUUAUUAUUACAUUUCAAAUGGACUAACUUUAUCAAAUGUUUAUAAACUGUAUUUAACAACAAAAUGUAAAAUGUCUGUUUUUGAAAUGUGCAGAAGCACACCUUCUAUCCUGCCAUGGUAGGUGUCACCCUUUACAAAAGCUAUUGUCCUCCACUGUCCUGUUUUUGAGACAUUGGAUUACAAUAAAGAAAAACAGUAAUUUCAACAAUACCUGCAUCACAUAUCAAAGCAUUACUUGUUGUGAAAAAUAUAACAGUUAAAAAAUAUGUGAUGGAAGAAUGUGAAGGCUUUUCACUUUUAUUACAAAUUCUUAAUUUAAUUAAUAAGUAGAAGCAUAAUUCUUAUAAUGUGACAAACAUCCUCUUUUAAUAUAUGCAGUGUACAAUCAGUUCUAUGGAAAAGAGAAAAAAAAAGAGAAAUUAAUAUAUCUGUUUUACUUGUUUCUCAAGGAAUGCCACACAAAACAAACAAAUGUGACCUAAAAGUAAUCAGAGCAACAUUCAAUUAGAGGUAAAAUAUAGGUUCAGAUCCUGUAAUGAACUUUAAUGACUUCCAGACUUUAAAUAAUUGUAACCUUUCUGCACACCUCAAGUCAUCAAACGACCGCAUCCAUUCAUAAAACCAGGAAUACAAAGACAAAUCAUGAAUUUCAUUUUAGUUUGAGAUAUCUAUUGUUAGCAUGUAACAAAACAGUCCCCCCGUGACAUGUCUGACAUGCACGAGUCUCCCGUCUCUCGCCCAGUAGAGAAGACUGUUUGUUUGUACAAUCAAUAAACACUUUUAGCUGAGAG